rnacentral:rRNA from 1 species
GAGUUUGAUCCUGGCUCAGAUUGAACGCUGGCGGCAUGCCUUACACAUGCAAGUCGAACGGCAGCACGGGAGCUUGCUCCUGGUGGCGAGUGGCGAACGGGUGAGUAAUGCAUCGGAACGUAUCCUGGAGUGGGGGAUAACGUAGCGAAAGUUACGCUAAUACCGCAUAUUCUGUGAGCAGGAAAGCGGGGGACCUUCGGGCCUCGCGCUCUUGGAGCGGCCGAUGUCGGAUUAGCUAGUUGGUGAGGUAAAGGCUCACCAAGGCGACGAUCCGUAGCAGGUCUGAGAGGAUGAUCUGCCACACUGGAACUGAGACACGGUCCAGACUCCUACGGGAGGCAGCAGUGGGGAAUUUUGGACAAUGGGGGCGAACCCUGAUCCAGCCAUGCCGCGUGAGUGAAGAAGGCCUCGGUUGUAAGUAC